CUAACUCCAAAUAAAUCGUAACAUACCUUAAUCGAAGAACUACUUGAACAACCAAACUAAAAAUCCGGAUAAGUAUAAUACACACAUGUUGUCCCACCAAGAUAACAAUUCUAGGGUAAAAACCCAUAAAUUCCCAUGAAAAUCAUACCCUUCGAUUUUAGAAAGGAAAUCAAAUUAGAGAUAGGAAAAAUAGAAGAAAAGCACUUGUCGUAAGAGAGAAAAAAUUCCAAGUCAUGUAAAAGUCGUCUAUGGGGUUCUCUUGUCGAAUAUUAUAUUCUGACUAAGAAUGAG
rnacentral:lncRNA from 1 species